rnacentral:rRNA from 1 species
AAGCAGCCAUCAUUUAAAGAAAGCGUAAUAGCUCACUGGUCGAGUCGGCCUGCGCGGAAGAUGUAACGGGGCUAAACCAUGCACCGAAGCUGCGGCAGCGACACUCAGGUGUUGUUGGGUAGGGGAGCGUUCUGUAAGCCUGCGAAGGUGGCCUGUGAGGGUUGCUGGAGGUAUCAGAAGUGCGAAUGCUGACAUAAGUAACGAUAAAGCGGGUGAAAAGCCCGCUCGCCGGAAGACCAAGGGUUCCUGUCCAACGUUAAUCGGGGCAGGGUGAGUCGACCCCUAAGGCGAGGCCGAAAGGCGUAGUCGAUGGGAAACGGGUUAAUAUUCCCGUACUUGGUGUUACUGCGAAGGGGGGACGGAGAAGGCUAUGUUGGCCGGGCGACGGUUGUCCCGGUUUAAGCGUGUAGGUGUGUGUUCCAGGUAAAUCCGGUUCACUUUAACACUGAGGCGUGACGACGAGGCACUACGGUGCUGAAGCAACAAAUGCCCUGCUUCCAGGAAAAGCCUCUAAGCAUCAGGUAACAUCAAAUCGUACCCCAAACCGACACAGGUGGUCAGGUA